UACGUAGGGGGCAAGCGUUGUCCGGAAUCAUUGGGCGUAAAGCGCGUGUAGGCGGCUCGAUAAGUCUGCUGUGAAAGUCCAGGGCUCAACCCUGGGAUGCCGGUGGAUACUGUCGAGCUCGAGUCCGGAAGAGGCGAGUGGAAUUCCCGGUGUAGCGGUGAAAUGCGCAGAUAUCGGGAAGAACACCCGUGGCGAAGGCGGCUCUCUGGGACGGUACUGACGCUGAGACGCGAAAGCGUGGGGAGCGAACAGG
rnacentral:rRNA from 1 species